GCCAGACUCCUACGGGAGGCAGCAGUGGGGAAUAUUGCACAAUGGGGGGAACCCUGGUGCAGCGACGCCGCGUGGGUGAAGGAGCACCUCGGUGCGUAAAGCCCUAUCGGCAGGGAAGAAACAGACGGUACCUGACUAAGAAGCCCCGGCUAACUACGGGCCAGCAGCCGCGGUAAUACGUAGGGGGCAAGCGUUAUCCGGAUUUACUGGGUGUAAAGGGAGCGUAGACGGCUGUGCAAGUCUGAAGUGAAAGCCCGUGGCUCAACCGCGGAACUGCUUUGGAAACUGGAUAGCUUGAGUACUGGAGAGGCAGGCGGAAUUCCUAGUGUAGCGGUGAAAUGCGUAGAUAUUAGGAGGAACACCAGUGGCGAAGGCGGCCUGCUGGACGACAACUGACGGUGAGGCGCGAAAGCGUGGGGAGCAAACAGGAUUAGAUACCCGAGUAAUA
rnacentral:rRNA from 1 species